GCGGCGCGCUUACACAUGCAAGUCGCACGAGAAAGUGGAGCAAUCCAUGAGUAAAGUGGCGUACGGGUGAGUAACACGUGGAUCAUCUACCUCUUAGUGGGGAAUAACCCUGGGAAACCGGGGCUAAUACCGCAUAAGCCUGGAAAGGGAAAGCAGCAAUGCGCUGAGAGAGGAGUCCGCGGCCGAUUAGCUAGUUGGUAGGGUAAUGGCCUACCAAGGCAAUGAUCGGUAGCCGGCCUGAGAGGGCACACGGCCACACUGGCACUGAAACACGGGCCAGACUCCUACGGGAGGCAGCAGUGGGGAAUCUUGCACAAUGGAGGAAACUCUGAUGCAGCGACGCCGCGUGAGCGAUGAAGCCCUUCGGGGUGUAAAGCUCUUUCGACGGGAACGAUAAUGACGGUACCCGGAGAAGAAGCUGCGGCUAACUACGU
rnacentral:rRNA from 1 species